ensembl:snoRNA
ACAGAAGAUGAACUUAUUGAUGGGUGGACAGAGAUAGUGUGCUGUCAUGUUCUGAUUUU